AUUAGGAAUCUUGCGCAAUGGGGGCAACCCUGACGCAGCGACGCCGCGUGAAGGAUGACGGCCUUCGGGCUGUAAACUUCUUUUAUCGGGGAAGAAGGGGGCAGUUUUCUCUGUCCUUUGACGGUACCCGAUGAAUAAGCCCCGGCUAACUACGUGCCAGCAGCCGCGGUAAUACGUAGGGGGCGAGCGUUGUCCGAAGUUACUGGGCGUAAAGCGCGCGUAGGCGGUCCGUUAAGUCUGGUGUGAAAUCUUCAGGGCUCAACCCGAAAAGGGCACUGGCGACUGGGGGACUUGAGUUUGGGAGAGGAGAGUGGAAUUCCUGGUGUAGCGGUGAAAUGCGUAGAUAUCAGGAGGAACACCGAUGGCGAAGGCAGCUCUCUGGCCCAAAACUGACGCUGAGGUGCGAAAGCGUGGGGAGCGAACGG
rnacentral:rRNA from 1 species